GCACAUGGAAGAGAGGGCUUUGAACCCUUUACUCCUGCACAGCAGUCCCAGUGAAGAUCAUCCACUCUCUGUCCCGAAAGCUACUCAUUGGCACAGGAGAGACACUUCCCUCCCUGGACUAACAAAAGCUUCCAGGUGCUGGUGGUGGCAGAAAAGCGUGGAACUUCUUGCUGCUGGUUGAAAAAGUUUAUCAGUCACAUCUUGAAAUUUGACACAGGGUACAAAUUUGCAAUAAACCACCUCUAGAAACUGAGUAACAAGAUGAGAAGCAAUUCAUCUCAGACAAGCAGCUCUUACAAUACUCCAUAAGGAAAGCUUCUGAGCAUGUCACAAAGUCUAAUAUAGCCAAGAGACAACAAGCUUGGAAGGGAAAAGGCCAGGCAGUGGCAGGGGAGCACUUUCACAUGUCAUCAGCAUAAGCAGAAGAUCAUUCAGAUGAGAAACACUGAAAUGAAGAACAAGGCCACAGAAGUUGGUCAGGUGUUACUGGAGAACAGAUGUGAAGUCCAGUCAGUCACUUCACAAACCAGUUGAUUUGGUAGAAACCAUCUAUGACAUGAUCUCAAAUUUGUAAGCCUGUUGUAGCAACAUUUUUGUUCUUUCAAAAGUGGUGGGAUUAUUCAAAUAGUUCGCUGAUGUAUUCCUUUAAUAAAUGCAAGCAGAAUACCACCAGGAAGAGAAAGAGCACCACGAUGGUAGUUAGGAAAGCUGUAUUUUGGCUGUCCCUUCCUCUCCUCUUCUGCCCCACACUCUGGGGUCCUACAGUGGAAGACAGCUUUUAUGGAAGUUCAAAAGAGUAGGGAUAUCCCAAAAAAGAGAGCAACAAGGGAACUGAAAGGCCAGUCAGGUCUAGCCACACCAUAAUCUACCAUUGCUGAUGGAGCUUAUCUUCUAGGACAAAGGUGUUUGGCAUGCAAUAGAUGGAAUCCCCCCCAACCUUCUUCACAGCAAAGAAUGGCUGUUCUGCAACUGGCUUAAGCACCACCCAGCCUAGACUACCCACGUAGGAUAGCACCUGGGUCUAUCUGGUAGACCAGAUUCUGUUUCUGCUGGAGACGUUUAUCCCACAGCACUGAGGCAUAACAGCUCCAUCACCCCUCACUGCCUUAGCCAAGAGGCCAAGCAGAAACUGAAGUGGCUUGACUUGCUCCCAUUCUCUGUGCACGGCAAAGUCAGAACAAAGCAUAAAUUGUGUUGAUAUCAUGCAAAGGCCAGACUGGUGUCCAGCCAUGGCAGACUCAUGGAGUGUAUAUUGACAUCUACUGUAUUAUUUGCAGCCGACCUCUUCAACACUGGGCGGACCACCUGCUGUUACCAAGUGAGACACAACCCUGUUGUUUACACAGCAAUUGCCAGUUCUAGAAUCAGGCAAUCAGUCAAUUUUGUGUUGACAGAUUAGCUUUAGUCUAUCACCUUCAAAACUGUUAUGUCUUCACAAUAUACACACUUUAUGGUUAAUUCUCACAGUGAACUGUAUAGUAGCACUGGUGUCAGAAACUUUUGGCCCUCCUGAUGCUGCUGAACUACAACUCCCUUCAGCCCCAGCAAACAUGGUCAGUGGUCAGGUAUGAUGGGAGUUACAGCUCACCAAAUCUGGAGGACCAAAGGUUCCCCACACCUGUAGUAAUCCAAAACACAUGGAGAAGCAGACAUUUAUGCAAAGCAUUUACCCACAAAACGAAGCGUAAGGUUAUAAAAUGGGCUCGUUUGGUACUCAGCUACCUUUUGUGCAAAACCAAAUUGAUUGUAUGGGGAACAGCAAAGGUGACCAUGAGAACAGAACAGCUACAUCAAGCCAUGAUGGCGAAACUUGGGAUGCCUCCUUCACAGAACUGGGUCUCUUGUGAGAUUACUCACUGUGAAUCCCUCAUCUCCCCCUGAAAAGUGGCACAAGUGACUCGUGCAAACCCUUACAGAUGCUGAAAGUCGGAUGCUGUUUAGGAUCAAAUUCAGCUCUCAGUAGAUUUUCAGUAUAGGCAAGUCCAAAAGCUUUGUGUUGAGUACCACUAUUCAUUCUAAAAAACUAUGGUACAAUGGUUUUUAGCCCACCACAAGGUAAUGUGGCAGGCUAAAUUGGCAAAGGAUGUUAUGGCAUUUAAACAACAACUAGAUAUGGGUCUCACAAUGGCCAUAGCUAAAAUGAACACAAAAAGAUGGUUUAGUUAUUUUCGGAUUUUGACUGUGUCUUGUGUCCUGCACUUAAAUUUCAGUCCAGGGUAUGCAAAACCCUGGAUUCUUACUCACAGAUAUGACAUGUUUCCCUUACCUGGCUGGUGUUUACAUAUGACCCAUAGGGUUGGUAGUUUCACUAAGCCCAGGAUGGGUUCCUGGAUGUGGUGUCGGCUCUGCCGAUACGGCAGAAACUUUUUCUUCUUCCCUUCUUUUAAGGCAGGCUGCUUUUGGGUUUAGGUUCCUCUCUAGGAGCAACGUGAAAAAAACACCUCUAUUAAUGCAUGAAACGUAUGAACUUGAUUGGUGGUUAGUUCUGAAAAUGGAGAAGCAAAUCACAGAGACCUGGCUGGCCUUAUCCACCACGCUGGACAGAUGCUUAUUUCUUUUUUCAGAGCAAAUCCUCCCAAGCUUGUACAAAACUAUUAUGAACAUAAAUCAAGGGUGGCCUCAUUUGGCCUGUGAAGCCGUUUCCUCCAAAUCAGGCCCACGCACCCUGCAUCUGGCAUCAGGUAUGGGGUGGGUACAGAUAUGGCUUCAAAGGCAUGAUCUGGAGCUUAAAGGGAUCUCCUGAUUGUCCCUUUGCUUGAAGCAGGUCUUGCUCCAGGAGCAUUUUGCAGGCACCUGUUGCAGGAAGGACUCUCUCACGCAGCCAAUGCCUACAAAACCAGGCUUCUCUUCCCCAUCCGUCAGCUAAUGGGUGGGAGAAAGGAGCACUCUGCCAGUCCUAUCCAUGGGACUUCCCAAAGCGCUGGCAACGCCCUUUGUGCUGUGCUGCCCAACCUGUCGAAGUUUGCCUGUAGGAAUGGGGCUAGAUAAGACCUGGCCCGCAAAGCCAAAAAUGUUCCCCACCUCAACUCAAUUCUUUAAUAUAUGAAAGCACAACCCAAAAACUUAAAAACAAGAGCAGCCUAGUUCACAACACUCUUAGGCUAUACACACAUCAGGGCAUUAAUGCACACAUGGAUUGCACAGAUCAGAUUUUGCCAUGUGCACUUUGGUAUACUUUUGUCCAUAUAGUGCUUUCAGUUUAAAUCUCUCAAUGUUUCACAUCCAGAUAAGUGGGCAGUACUUGAUGGGAUGUAUUCCUGCUGUAUGCUGUUGCUCUCAACCCUUAAUUACUACUUCCCCAUCCUCCAGAGGUUCUGGAAUCCUGAGGCCUAUUGUAGACAUGCAUGCAAGUAUCCAUUUACCUGUGUGUUGCAUACCUCUUUUUUUUAAUGGUUUUGUCUGUGGAAUAGCACAAUAUUGAACUUUCACCAGCAUCAACAUUUGAAAUGUAAGUUGUUUAUUGACUGGUUUUGCACAAGCAACAGUUUUAAAAACAAAACUGCAGAGAACCAGAAGCCCAUCAAGGAGCGCCUUGCCAGGCAAAGAAUGGUUGGGGAGGCAGAGGCACUGACACUUCUCAUCAUGAAAACUCCCCCUGCCCCCAGCAACACAGAAAGCCAUGGUACGGCUCACCGAAGAAUAUAAACAGUACAUUUCACACCCAAGCACACGUGGCCAAGGCAGGACAGAGCGCGCAAUUUGGGGGAAGAGAGAUUUGGAGACUGCUUUUUCUCUUUCUCUUUCCUGCCUCCUGGCCUACAAGGUCCAAUUUUAGUUUAUUUUUAACACAGCUGUUUUGCACAAGAGCAGUUCUGUGCAAAGCAGCUGUUUUCAUAAUUUUUAGAAGAUUACUAUAAACAUGCCUUCAAUAUCAAUUGGUAGAAAUAGGUACACUGCAUCUUUUCCUUUGGGCUGAUGGAAACAAAAUGACUAGGUUGUGCUCAGAUGAUGAGUAAACAGAAGCAAGGAGUGUGGUAACAGAUGGCACCCCAGAAAAUUUCACAACACACUACACAGCCCCUGCCCACCCAAUGUGUUUCAGUGUGUCCACUUUCAGGUAACGUGUUAUUUUAUGUUGGGUUUUCCCUCUUAGUGGAUUAACUGCAGAUUGGAAAUUAAUUCAAAUUAAAUGGGGGAAAGUAUGGGCUGGCAUUUGGAUGAAGACAAUAUUGUGUGGAUGAUGUGAAAAACAUUUACACAUGGGAUACACUGAACCCACUUUAAUUUGCUGUAUGUAUGCACCCUUAAUUAAAAGCAGAUUGCUGCUGCAUUCUUGCUGUUUUUACAAA